rnacentral:rRNA from 1 species
GUGCAUGGCGGCUGCUAUAAUGCAGUCGUACGCUUCUUUUUCCACCGGAGCUUGCUCCACCGGAAAAAGAAGAGUGGCGAACGGGUGAGUAACACGUGGGUAACCUGCCCAUCAGAAGGGGAUAACACUUGGAAACAGGUGCUAAUACCGUAUAACAAUCGAAACCGCAUGGUUUUGAUUUGAAAGGCGCUUUCGGGUGUCGCUGAUGGAUGGACCCGCGGUGCAUUAGCUAGUUGGUGAGGUAACGGCUCACCAAGGCCACGAUGCAUAGCCGACCUGAGAGGGUGAUCGGCCACAUUGGGACUGAGACACGGCCCAAACUCCUACGGGAGGCAGCAGUAGGGAAUCUUCGGCAAUGGACGAAAGUCUGACCGAGCAACGCCGCGUGAGUGAAGAAGGUUUUCGGAUCGUAAAACUCUGUUGUUAGAGAAGAACAAGGAUGAGAGUAACUGUUCAUCCCUUGACGGUAUCUAACCAGAAAGCCACGGCUAACUACGUGCCAGCAGCCGCGGUAAUACGUAGGUGGCAAGCGUUGUCCGGAUUUAUUGGGCGUAAAGCGAGCGCAGGCGGUUUCUUAAGUCUGAUGUGAAAGCCCCCGGCUCAACCGGGGAGGGUCAUUGGAAACUGGGAGACUUGAGUGCAGAAGAGGAGAGUGGAAUUCCAUGUGUAGCGGUGAAAUGCGUAGAUAUAUGGAGGAACACCAGUGGCGAAGGCGGCUCUCUGGUCUGUAACUGACGCUGAGGCUCGAAAGCGUGGGGAGCAAACAGGAUUAGAACGGGGGGGAUCCCACAAAAAAAAUCCCUGAUGGUUCUGGAUCUUGCCG